rnacentral:lncRNA from 1 species
AUUGCCAAAUAUUUGUUGGAUUAACAAGAUGUAACUAUUUCAAGCUUGACCAAUGAAACACUAUUCGAUUUUCCGAAUGAAUAAAGAACAAAUCUUAUCAGAUGGUGGAUAAUCUACUGCACGUCAAAUUUGCUAUGAGUCACCACGAUUACGCCACAAGUUUAGGAUCAACUUUGAUCUAACUCUGUGUGAAGAUUAUAUAUGGUCACAGUAAGAGGCCAUUAAAUUUUGAUAGGCCAAGGUAACACAAAAUGUUGAUUUCAAAAACAUAAUUGACCAUCAAUUUGGAAUAUAUUGAGCAAAAAAAAUAAUUUAGGAAAAAUUACCCUAGGCGGAGGUUUGCGCUUUUGAUUGGAGAAACAACAUUGAAAUAAGCUUAUGGAUCUUAUUGGAGGAAGAGAUUGAAAUAGUUAUGUCUUUAUAAUUAUGGGAACGUAUAUUAUUCUAUAAUAGGUUUUACGUUUGCUAAAUAAGUACUUUAAUUAGGCCUAUUGGUACAUAUGUUGUCUACAAGUUAUAACAAAAAAAUGAGAUGACUAAUUUGAAAGGAAGGAUUUAUAGCACUUCUGGAUUAUAAUC